rnacentral:rRNA from 1 species
AGGAAUACAUCGGAAUUUGCCCAAUCGUGGGGGAUAACGUAGGGAAACUUACGCUAAUACCGCAUACGACGGUGACGUGAAAGCGGGGGAUCAGCAAUGACCUCGCGCGGAUGGAUAAGCCGAUGUCGGAUUAGCUAGUUGGCGGGGUAAAGGCCCACCAAGGCGACGAUCCGUAGCUGGUCUGAGAGGAUGAUCAGCCACACUGGGACUGAGACACGGCCCAG